UACGGAGGGUGCGAGCGUUGUCCGGAAUCAUUGGGCGUAAAGGGCGCGUAGGCGGCCCCGUAAGUCUUGGGUGAAAGCCCUCGGCUCAACCGAGGAAUUGCCUUGGAUACUGCGGGGCUCGAGGCUGGAAGAGGGCAGUGGAAUUCCCGGUGUAGCGGUGAAAUGCGUAGAUAUCGGGAGGAAUACCAGUGGCGAAGGCGGCUGCCUGGGCCAGUUCUGACGCUGAGGCGCGAAAGCGUGGGGAGCAAACAGG
rnacentral:rRNA from 1 species